UACGUAGGGGGCGAGCGUUAUCCGGAGUUACUGGGCGUAAAGCGCACGCAGGCGGUCGUUCAAGUCGCGUGUGAAAGCCCCCGGCUCAACUGGGGAGGGUCACGCGAUACUGAUCGACUCGAAGGCAGGAGAGGGAAGUGGAAUUCCCGGUGUAGUGGUGAAAUGCGUAGAUAUCGGGAGGAACACCAGUGGCGAAGGCGACUUCCUGGCCUGUUCUUGACGCUGAGGCGCGAAAGCUAGGGGAGCAAACGGG
rnacentral:rRNA from 1 species